CGCCUGUAUGAGCGAGUGAAUGAGAUAGCAGCGAAGAAGGGGUGCACCCCAUCACAGCUUGCAUUGGCUUGGGUCCAUCACCAAGGGAAUGAUGUCUGUCCCAUUCCUGGAACCACCAAAAUUGAAAACUUCAAUCAGAACGUUGGAGCUUUGUCCGUAAAAUUAACAGCAGAAGAGAUGGCUGAGCUAGAAUCCAUUGCUUCAGUAGAUACCGUGAAGGGAGACAGAUACGGUGGCGUUCUCGUUACCUACCAUGACUCUGAGACUCCCCCCUUGUCUUCAUGGAAACCUGAAUGAGGCUUAGACUACCAUAUUGAUACAAUCUUCAUGAUGAGGUAACACUUUGCAUUGUGUUUUAAAAUCACGAGUCUCUCUACUUUGUAUUCCGAGAAUACAUAUUCUGUCAGAAGUACAACGGGUCUUGUAGUGAUACAUUGUAGCUAUCUAAAUGUGUCAUGUUCAGAUUGUCUGUUCCAAGGUAAUUAAGCAAAAGUUUGUCAGUAAAUAAGGUGUUAUAUCAGAAGUAUCCUUGGUCUUCUGAUGAUUGCUGGCAAACUUGAUUGUAUGUUCCUGACUUGAUCAUGUUAAGAAAAAGAAAGUGUUUCUGUCUUUCUGAAAUGUUUUGAUCUCAACUAUGCUUCCUUCUCUUUUAUAAUACGAGGAAUCUCUCCCCCCAACAAAUUAAUAUUUGGUUUCAUUGGACAAAAACUUAAAGAAAAUAUGAGCAUAGAAAAGGAUGAAACGAAGACGUCUAGGUAAUUGCUCACUGUGCAUUCCAAAAUGAUCAAAUAAUUAGUUGCUUCCUUUGUCACUAAACAUUAUUAUUUAUUUUAUUUAUUUAUGUAUGGUUUUACCUGCACCAAUAGCCCAUUUACUUUGUGGGUGACCCAUCCAUGGGACCAAUCUAGAUCCCGUCGUCCCCACACCAUAAGCAAUAGGUUUUCAAUUAAUUAAUCCUAAUUUUCCUUAGAUUUUAGACGACCUUUGAUGAGUAACUUAAGGCUUUGGAACCACCGAUGGAUUUUGCUGGGAAAUGGACAAACAAAAACGAAAUUAACAAGAUAAAAGGAAUCCCAUUACCACCUUAAUUAUUUGUUUUCUGCUUAAUAUGGAGUCUCGCAAACCACUAAUUUACUUUUAAGUAAAUAUGUGUUUAGUUAAUUGUUUUCAAACUUAUUGGGAAAAUCUAAUAUAUUCGAUCUAAAGCUACUAAAGUACAUAACUAAAAGCAAAGCUCCAAAAAGUUAAAACAUUGUAAUUAUUAUUAUUGUUAUUUUUAUUAUUUUUAUGUGUGAAAUGAUGAAGCAACAUGCAUGAUGAGCAGCUCUCUCUUUUUUAGUUUUUGUUAUACUUCCCACUAAUUGAAGGUGGAUGAUCACUAGAUUCAUGUACUUGCUCACCGCAAUGAAGAAUAUAAUAAUUUGGCCAAAUAUUACUACCAACUAGCUAUUAAACCACCAAGCGGAUCAACCCCUUCUUAAGGGAAUGUAUGCAUUGGAUUAAUUCAUUACUCUUUGCAUAAGCUUUUAGGCUUAUGAAUUGCAUUAAUAUACUCACCCUGAUUAUCGUUUUGCAUAAUCCAGAGUAUAGGAUUAAGAUAAAGUAAAAAAAAAAUGAGCCAACUAUGUAUUCUUUACUGUAGCAGCUGCGCUUUAAGAUAAAACUUGAAGAGGGGAUUAAACAAUAUUUACUGUAGUCAAUAGAAUAAACCAUUGUGAUGAAUAUCAAAAAAUUAUUAAAUUAUUAAUGUCAUAAUCUAUCUAGUUCAGUUAUACGUGUGCAAAAUCUUUUUGUUUGAAUGGAUUCAUUAGCUAAAGCACCCAUGGGCAGACCCCAUUUUCUACUGAGCUAGCUACACUGGUUCAUGAACCCUGUCCACAAGAGUUCAAAAAGAGUUUCCCUGGCCGACAAGAAGUUGGCAUUUGCUUUGGUGACUAUCACUCAUUUCGCUUCUUUCUCACCUAUUAAAUUCUUCCCACUCAUUUAAACAAAUAGAUUAAUCUCGAUUAAUUUGUCUCCUUCUUUUGGUCUUUGGUAACGGUAAUAAUUAGAUUUAAUCUACAAGCAUCGCAUUUUCUCUAUUUUUAAUUUGUGGGACAGCAAUGCAAUGAAGUCACCACUCACCAUCCCCCAUGGAUUAGGAAAGCUGGUAUCUCUAUAAUUAAUAUAUAAAAUACGAGAUUAAUUGAAAAAGGGAUUGAGUUGAUCGCUUUGAUGGAUCCACCUUUAAAUAUUUAAACAUAAGUUGAUCUUAAACUAAUAAAAAAUUAUGCAAUUUUUAGUUGAACGACUUAGUCAAAUAAUCAUCGUAGAUUAUCGUGGAAUACUUUAUUUUGUACCCGAAAGUGAUUGCAUUAAGACCCGAUAGCUACCACCCAUGGCGACUCCGGGAUGUGUAGAAAGUCACUGUACGAUUGCAAUCUAGAACGCCAGCAUUGACUGGCCUCUCAUUAGUGCUUGGAUAAUAAAAAAAAAAGAGGUCAAGUUGUACAUGUCUGAGUUUAGACACGGUGGCGGCACCAUUUUCUUCUUCACCCUGGGACCACACUCUUGUCACGUGACACAAGUACCUAAUUGCUCAGCCAAAGCAGUUUUUUUUUUUAUAUAUAUAUUUUUUUAAUUUCAUAAGUCAUAUUACAUUGAAAAAGGGUGCAAUAAAAAAUAUUUGUUUUAAAUUAUAAUUUUAUAAAAUAUAUCUAUAAAAAAGUAGAGUUUUUCUUUCUUUUGUUUUUUAUUUUUUUUACUGUUUUCUUUCGUCUCUCUUUUUCUCCCUCUCUUUCUCGUUGGUCAGCGGCAGCCGGCAACGGUAGAGGCCCAGAUUUGCCCCAAGCUCGAUCUCUUUCCCCCGUCGAAUAGGUAACAUGGGUUAAUUUGGCUCCAAUCGUCAUCAAGGCAUCAAUAAGGCUAGAGCAGACCCUUUACUGUCAUCGGCUGGCCCCUAGCUGAAGGGAGAGAGAGAACAAAGGAGAGAAUGAAAAAGAAAAAUCACAUAAUUUAAUUUUUAUCCACAUUAAUUAUCAUGCCAACACUUGAUGAAAAUAUUGACAAAAGGACGUUCCUGUUUAACAGUAAAAAUAUGGGAAUUAGUAGUAAUUUACUUUUUAAAUUAUAAAGAUAAAAAUUAUAUGCAAUUCAAAUUUUGAGAACCUAUCUGAAUUACAUUAUUUUGGGAGGUUUUGUGGAUGAUACCGCCUUAUCUAAUUUACAAUAUUGUUUAGAGUCAUUUGUACCUGCGCUUUAAGGAAGUUCAUUUGUUCAAUCUAUUUGGGUAUAGUUAUUGGUAGUAUGAUUCUAGAUUAGUCCAAAAAAUCACUUUGUUCUUGUAUAGUUUUUUUCUCUAAUUAUUAUUUAGGUCCAUAGUUCUCCCACAUCUCUCAGUGAUUAAUCUCAUUUUUAGGUAGUGGUGGUAUUAGUAUUUUGGGUAGGUACAAUUGGGACAAAUCAUGUAUAUAAAUCUAAAGAAAUGGUCAGAUAUGUGUGGUAGCUUCUAUAAACCAUCAAAGUUUUUGGAAGGAAGCCAUGAAGGGCAUCUCAAUUAGUGCAACUGCAACAUAAUUUCCAUUAUCAAGGUUAAGGCUCUAGGCAAAUAAAGGAAUUAUCAAGGUGUUUUAGGGGAAUGGAGAUGAAUCUACUAUCCUCGUUAUCAGUGACAGAAUUAGGAUUCGUGUUUGAGGGGUAAAGACAAUGUCCAUAAAAUAGUCACACCCAUAGUUUAGUGUUUAACAAAAACAUAAAAUAAUUUAGAUGGAAAAAAUUCAUAUAAAAAUUAUAUAAAUAACUCCAAUUACAUGUUAAGUACAAAAUAAAGAUAUUUUUUUAUAACUAUUGCAUGUUAAAAUUGGAUAUUUUUAAUUGAGCUUGACAAUAUUUUCAUAGAGUUGAAGGCAUUAUUGAAUUAAUAUCAAAAUCUUGAAUUAUUCGAAUUUUUAAUAAAAUCAUUUAAAAUUUUAUUACGAGUCUCGUUCUUAACAAGUUUUAUAAUUAAUAUUAUACACUUUGAUGUUAUAUUGAAAACUAGAAGAGUCUACAUCAAUCUGUCAAUAAGAAAUUAAACUUUUGAUAUUCUCGUAUUCUUUAACAUUUGACACAAUUCAAAAAGUAUAAAUACAUUUUUCAAAGCUUGAUUAUGAAGAAUGUCAAACUUGAAUAGAUCCAAUUGAUAGCUCAAACACAUAUUAUCAUAUUCAGUAAAGUUACCAAGAUAAUAUUUAAUUACAAAGUUACAAAUACUUUCAACAUCAAACAAUUUGAAAUCAUUAUAAGAGUCCAAGGAUAUGUCAAGAGUGAGCAACUCCACCAUAUUCUUAUAAAUCUAAAAUCUAAUUCUUACAAGAGUGAGUUAAUAGCAGAAAAAAACAACUCAACUCAAUAAUGGUGUUCAAUUGUGCUAUGAUCCUUUUAAAGACGGCUUUUACCUUUAUAUCUAACUCCAUGUCAAAAAUCUUAAUUUCGUAUUCUCACAAAACUUCUUUACUGACACAAACAAAGGUUUCAUUCAUUUCUCCCAAUUGUUAGAGACGUUUUUUAAUAACAAUACUAAACGAAUUACAUUUAAUAUGUCUUGAGAUUUGAGUUGUAAAGCUUUUGAAAAGUCAUUUGUUAUCUCCAAUAACUUUAUCAUAAGAUGCAAGAUAAAUAUAAAUUUAAAUGACAUAAUGAUAUGUUAUAAAAAUUAUAAAAUAAAAGAAAAAAAUAUAAAAUUAUUAUAGAAAUAAAAUUCUAAAAUUCUAAAAAACUAAAAAUAGGUUAUAAAAGUAUUAUAAAGAUAAAAUUUUAAAAUUUUAAAAAAUAAGAGUUGCUAUAAAACCACCCUCCCCUACACCUCUAUUUACGGAGGUGGUGAGGGUCGGAAGUAAAAGCAGUGGGCGUUGUGGGAAGACUUGGCGUGCACCUUGGGACAAGCGUUGUAAGUGUGGGUACAAGACUGCAUCUACCAAGCGCAGAAAGUAGUGCUUGAUCCAUUUGGCAUUUAGUCUCUUUUAUGCAAUUUGAACAAUUUAAUGUUGAUAUUAGACAUAUAAGUUCCACAAUUAAUUAGUUAAUGUUUUAAUUUUCUAAUGACAUGUCAUAAGUUUUAUAUCUAUUUGAUCUUUCUAUUUACUAUUCAUCGAUCUUUUCCGAUGGAAUUGGGUGUCUGAUUAAAUUUGUACAAGGACUUUGCUUCCAUUGGCAUCUAAUAUCUCAAGACUCAGCUGGGUGCUCAUCCUUCUACCAGAAUUAUCAUUAAAAUCAAAAUCACAAAAACAAUUUGAUGCAACCUCACCACUCAUUUAUAGGCAGCUUAUUGGGUACUUAAGUAUCUUAAAAAGGCACCGGGAUAAAGUAUUUUACUAGCUUCUGAUUCUGAUGUUCAACUAAAGGUUUUUAUUGAUAAUGAUUGGGCUAGAUGCUUAGAUUCCAGACGUUCUGUUACUGGUUUUGGAGUUUUUCUUAGUAAAUCUCUCUUUAAUUGGAAAUUUAAAAAGCAAUCAGUUGUUGCUUGUAGUUCAAUAGAGGCUGAAUAUCGUGCUAUGGCUGCUGCUUGUUGUGAAGCUAUAUGGCUUUUGUCUCUACUCAAAUAUUUUGGUUUUUCUCAUAUUGCUUUAGUUCAUUAUUUUUUGAUAACCAGUUUGCUAUUCACAUUUGUAAAAAUCCUAUAUUUCAUGAGAGGACUAAGCAUACUGAACUGCACUGUCAUUUUAUUCGAGAUAAAGUUCUUGAAGGAGUUAUUUGUCCUUAGCAUGUUUUUACUAAGGAUCAAUUGGCAGACAUUUUUACUAAGGAUCAAUUGGUAGACAUUUUUACUAAGGCGCUACCACUUGCACAAUUCACCUAUCUGUUAGGCAAGAUGAGCAUAGAUAAUAUCCAUGCUUCUCUUGAGGGGGGGUGUUAGAUAUUAUAUUUUGACAUGUGCAAUGGUAUAUUUGUAAAUAUUCUAACUGUUUAAGGUUAUUAUUAUAUUUUUGAUUUUACAUGAAGACUUGACUAUAAAAAAUCUGUUGUACUGACAAUGUGAAGUUGAAAAAAAAGACAAUACAAUUAGAGCUUUAUCCAUCUCUUAACUUUUUCUAGAUUUUUUUUCAGAUUCUUCGUCUCUUUCUCAAUAAUCGACAAAACUUUCUCUAGAUUUUUUUCAGAUUCUUCGUCUCUUCCUCAAUAAUCAACAGGAUUGAGGGGACGAAUUUGGUUUGGUGGAGCAACUAAGCUUGGCGGUGGUGGGUAGGUGCUUAAUCCAAGUGUUGCCAAAUGUUUUGCCUGAUUACCCGAGGCUUUGAAGUUAACGAACAAAUAGGUGGAAAAAUCCUUUAGGUAGAAAUAUGUAAAGAAAAGCAGAGUCUUAUCCACCAUUCUAAACAAACAAAACGAUUGCUCCAAAACACAACACAACAAUUUAAUUAAGUUUGUAAAAUUAAAGUGACAAUCCAAAGCCACUGGAGUUUAAUACUUCAUCUGGCAUCUAGAUGGUUUCUCUUGUAACCAAAAAAAAAAUGCAGAAUCGGCUCAUCCAAUAAGAAGGAGAGAGUUUGAAAGUUGAAGGUGAUUUUUUUUUUAAUAUUUUUGACUUUUUAAUUUUUUGGAUAUUUUAAUAAUUUUAUAAAAUUCAUUAGUGAUGUUUAAAAUUUUGAAACUAAGUGUAUUUUUAAUACUAUUAGAUUUAAAGUGAAUUAUGAUAAAAAGUUAGGUAAUGAGAUAGGAUUGUCCUUUGAAAAAAACACCUAGGGAACAUUUUGUCUCCAUUUAAAAUCAUUACUAAAAGAAAUUUUGAAAGGGACAAAAAGAGCAUCACAAUUUACAUCACUCAAGUGGAACACUUUACCUUAAUGUGAUGAAAUUUAUGAAGUGAUGUGGCAAUCUUUGGAAGGACUUUCAACCAAUUUUACUCGAAAGUUGGUGGUAGACCUUGAAUCUGAAUCGGAUUAGAAAGCUUUCAAGAUAUAUAGAGGGGGCUGUCUCUCGACCAAUCUUCAGAUAAACAGUGAUGGAAAGCACGCCCCCUCCCGCUUUAGCUCCAGUCAUCUCUAGCAGACCGAAACUACUUGCAUGGAUGGCCUUUUUUUUUUUUUUUUUCCACAUUUCUUGGAUGAGGAAAAUUAUGACUUAAUUCAUAAAUUUCACAACGUGAAUUCCAAAUUAAUUAGUUCCAUUUGCAGAAAAGAAUGCCUUGCUGCUGAUUGUCUUUUUGUUUGACGAAACAAUCGUUGGAAUUAAUUUUCAUUUGUCACAGUAACUACCCAAAGUUCCAACCUGAAAAUCUCAAGCAUAACAAACGCCUCUAUGAGCAAGUUAGUAAGAGAGCAGCAAGAAAGGAAUGCCAACCCAUCGCAGCUUGUAUUGGCCUGUGUCCAUCACCAAGGGAAUGAUGUCCGUCCCAUUCCUAGAACCACAGAAAUUGAAAACUUUAAUCGGAAUAUUGCAGCUUUGGCCUUACAAUUUAUACGUGAAGAGAUAGAGCUAGAAUCCAUUGCUUCAACAGAUGCCGCGAAGGGAGGCAGAUAUAUUAGAACCACUGCUACCUACCGCAAAUCUGAAACUCCUCCCUUGUCUUUACGGAAACCUGCGUGAGGAUUGACGGCCUUCCAUUCACCACAUUGAUACAAUUUUCACAAUGAGCAGCAUCAUGUGCUUUAAAGUUUUGAUGAGUACUCUGCUUUAUAUUCAGAAAAUAAAGUGUUAUAUUUACAAGUACCCUAGGUCUUGUAGUGAUAGAUCGCAAACUUGAUUGUAGGUAUCUACGUUUGUCAUGUUGACGUCGUCCGCUCCAAGGUCAGUAAGCAAAAGUUUAUGAGACACGUGGAAAUGGGGGUUGCAUACAUGAUUUUACUUUUAAACAAAAUAAUUAUAGUCAAAAGAUCUAUCAAGUCUUUAUAUUUUUUAAUUUUAUUUAAUUUAAUCUUUAUACUCAAAAUCGAAAUAAUUUAAUCUAUUGAUUUUGAGAAUUGUGUUAAUUUAAUUUGUUUUCCUAACAGCUUCCAAUUUUACCGUUAAAAGAUGACAUCAGCACCAACGUGUCACAUAUUGAUAACGUGGCAUUGAGAUGAUGACAUGGCAUGAUGAUGUGUUAGAUUAAAAAAAUUUUUUACCAUUUCAUAAGGACUCAAUUGAACAAAAAUAUAUAAUAUAAGGAUUAAAUUAAAUAAAAUUGAGAUAUUGAAGGACUAAAUUAAAAGAAUAUUUAAAUAGAUUAUUGAUAUGCUUGUUAAUAAGCUAAAUAUUUAAGUGUAAAAGAUUAUGGUGUUAAUAUAUAUAUAUAUAUAUAUAUAUAUUUACUUGAUUAUUUGAUUCUAAAAUAUGUAAAUUAAUUUAUUUUUUUUACAAAAAUUAAGUUUGAAUUCUCCUUCUAAAAAAANUUAAGUUAAAAUAAAUAAUAUAAAAUGACUAAAUAUGUUGAUUUAGUUACAACUUUCAUAAUUUACAAAUACACAUUUUUUUUAAAAUUAUUCAACUUUUACCCAAUUUACCUUUUAUUUAAAUUUACUCAAAUUAGCAAAAUAUGUUAAUUUAGUUACUACUUUCACAAUUUACAAAUACACAUUAUUCAACUCUUACCCAAUUUACCUUUUAUUUAAAUUUUCUCAAAAUUUUUUAUAAAACGAUUUUAUUUAAAUUCAAAUACCAUAAUCAAAUUCUGUUAAAUUUAAAUUUAUAUUAUUAAUUUAGAUCUACAAAAAAUUUAUUAAUAAAAUAAAAUUAUACAAAUAUUUACAGUUAUAUUAACUUUAUCAAUUAUAAAUGCAGUCUUUAAUAUAUGAAAUUUUAACUUAAAAAAUAUAACUUGAAAUAUUUACAAAAUAAAAACAUAAUAAAUGAAUAAAUAAAUAAUUGAACAGAUAGAACUUAGAUUCUAUGGUUGUAAUAAGAGGUUUGUCAUGUCCAAAUUAAGCAAAUCAGAAUGAGAAAUUAUUUUUAUCAUCAUUGUUAAUUUCAUAUCUGCGUUCUUCAUUUUUUUAAAAGAAAAAACUAAAUCAACAUAUUUUGCUAAUUUGACUUUAGCUCAAGCUAAAAACUAAGUUAAAUAAAAUUCAAAUUUUUAUGCUAUUACAAAUAGAAGAAAAAAGAAUUUAUUUAGUCAUUUUAUAUUAUUUUAUUUUAACGUAGUACAAGUUAUUUAUCUAAAUUUGACUUCAAGUAUAAAAUUUUUUCAAAUUUUUUUUAUGGAAGGAGAAUUCAAACUUAAUUUUUGUAAAAAAGAUAAAUAAAUUUAUAUAUUUGAGAAUCAAAUAAUCAAGUAAGAAAAUAUUUAUAUAUUUUUUUAAUACCAUAAAUCUUUUACACUUAAAUAUUUGGCUUAUUAAUAAAUAUAUCAAUAAUCUACUUAAAGAUUUAUAUUUAUUAAUUUAGUCCAUCCACAUCUCAAUUUUAUUCAAUUUAGUCCUUAUGCUAUAUAUUUUUAUUCAAUUUAAUCUCUAUGACUUAGUAAAAUUUUUUAAAAAAUUUUUUUAAUCUACCACGUGAUAUUAACAUGUCAACAUAUCAGUACCACGUCAACACUACCACGUCAUAAUAUAAUACCACGUGACAUGCGACGUCAUUAUUUUAACGUCAUGUCAUCAAAAUGUGACACAUUAACGCUGACAUCAGUAAUUAUGUCAGCACUGAUAUCAUCAUUUAACGGUAAAAUUAGAUGUUAUUAGAAAAAUAGACUAAAUUGAUGUAAUUUUCAAAAUUAAAAUCCUAAAUUAUUUCGAUUUUGAGUAUAAAGAUUAAAUUGAAUAAAAUUAAAAAAUUACAAACGUUGAAUAAAUCUUUUAACCAAAUAAUUAUAUCAAAAUGGAUAUUAUAUUUUAAUUAUUUGUUUAUUUUUAAUCAUUUUUUUAAAUGCAUUAUUGAUUAUUAUUUUCUUUUUUAAAACGCAAAAUUAUAUCCACCCAUCACCCACUUGAUGCCAUUGUAAGUCUUUAGCCUUGUCAGCCCAAGAUUUUGAUGGCAUAGAAACUGGUGUGAGAAAGGAACUAUACAAUUACAAAAAAAUCUCUGCACAAAAGGCGACACACCACAAGGACCACUUGAAACGAAUGUAUGAACAAAACUAUUGAUCAUUAUUGAUCUGCCUUUUAUCAUUUCCUUUUCCAUUGUCAUAAAAACAAUAACCAAACAAAUCCAUAUUCUUAAUCAGGGAGCAAAGUAUACUGUUGUGGAUUCCUUGCCCUUUCCGCUGACUACUUCAACAGAUAACACUGAACCGCGACUUCCUCGACACAACACUGACCGCUGUCUGCAGCAACUUUAGCUAGCUAUUCACUCUCACCAGUAAAACAUGGCAACUGCAAGAGUUGGGAGGAUCAAGUUGGGAUCUCAAGGCCUGGAAGUGUCAGCUCAAGGCCUGGGCUGCAUGGGGAUGUCAGCUUUCUAUGGCCCUCCGAAGCCUGAAGCUGACAUGAUCGCUCUCAUCCACCAUGCAAUCAACUCUGGGGUUACCCUUCUUGACACCUCUGAUGUUUAUGGUCCCCACACCAAUGAAAUUCUCCUUGGCAAGGCCUUGAAAGAUGGUUUCAGAGACAAAGUUGAAUUGGCAACUAAGUUUGGUUUAGACUACAGUGAAGGCAAGAACGAAAUCCGUGGUGACCCUGCUUACGUGAGGGCGGCCUGUGAAGGUAGCUUGAAGCGUCUUGGUGUGGUUUGUGUUGAUCUUUACUAUCAGCAUCGGAUUGAUACCAGAGUUCCCAUUGAAUUCACGGUUUGUUUUUGUUUGGGCUUUCGGUCCCCUGCUUUUUACUUUGUCAUGAUCUAGUUAAGAAAUGAGAAUUCUUCAUCGUUUUAUUGAUUGUUGCUUUUCUUUUUUUACUCAGAUGGGUGAACUUAAGAAGCUAGUUGAAGAAGGUAAAGUAAAGUACAUAGGUCUAUCUGAGGCUUCUGCUUCGACAAUUAGGAGGGCGCAUGCUGUUCACCCAAUAACUGCUGUGCAGUUGGAGUGGUCUUUGUGGUCUAGAGAUGUUGAGGCCCACAUCAUUCCUACUUGCAGGUUACUUAUCCACAAGACUGACAAAUUUUUUAAAAAUUAGUGAUUUAGAAACCUUAUUCUAAUGUGAUUCCUUUUAAUUUCUUAGAGAACUUGGAAUUGGGAUUGUUGCUUACAGUCCUCUGGGGAGAGGAUUCUUUUCAUCAGGGCCUAAAAUUGUGGAAACUUUGUCCAAUGAUGACUUCAGAAAGGUUUGUAGCUAUUCUUCACAAUUGGAUAUACGUUCAUAACAAGUACUAAUUAUUUGUUACUUUUUGGCAUAUCAAAAUUUUAUGGUAUGAUAGAUUUUUUUGAUCAUGAUAUGUGAAUCAGAGAAAAUCCACAUCAAUACUUGCACAAGAAAGUUUAGAAGUCUACAGACGUAACAAGAAUUCUUUUAUAUCUGACAGCCAGAUUUUUUUAAGUGUGUAAGUUGUACUGCAACAUUCCCCUUUUUGUUAGCCAACUUCGUAAAGACCUCCCGAUUUUAGUCUUGGGUGCCUCAAGGCCAGCAAUCUUGUUCUUUCUAAUUUAGUGGGACUUUCAUGUGAAUUGGGUUUAUUUACAUGUCGGUGUGUACUGUCUAAGUGUAUAUUCUCCAACUGUGCACUUGGGUAAGGGUAGACUAGUUAAGAAUCCAAAUUUGAGUAUGUUCAUAACCUGUUCCCCUUCUCUUUCAAAACUUAUUUUCAAAAUGCAAAAACAUGUUGGGUAGUAACCUUCUUUAGCUUCUUCAUAAUAACAGAGGGCUAACUAUACCUUUAUGUCGUAGUUUGCCUCUAAAAUGCCCCUUUCCCUUGGGUUAUGCAAGUGUGUCAUGUGAUCCAUUGAUUAAAUGUUUUGAAUCGACGAACUUGUAUUACUUACAGAAAUUGAUGGUCUGUGGCUGAUUGUCUUUAUCUUUUAUGACACAAUCAUUUGAAAUGAAUAUUGAAUUGUGACAGUCACAACCAAGGUUCCAACCUGAAAAUCUGGCGCAUAACAAACGCCUGUAUGAGCGAGUUAACGAGAUAGCAGUGAAGAAGGGGUGCACCCCAUCACAGCUUGCGUUGGCUUGGGUCCAUCACCAAGGGAAUGAUGUCUGUCCCAUUCCCGGAACCACCAAAAUCGAAAACUUCAAUCAGAACAUUGGAGCUUUGUCCGUGAAAUUAACAGCUGAAGAGAUGGCUGAGCUAGAAUCCAUUGCUUCAGUAGAUACCGUGAAGGGAGAUAGAUAUGGUGAAGGUAUCUCUACUUACCAUGACUCUGAGACUCCUCCCUUGUCUUCAUGGAAACCUGAAUGAGGCUUAUGCUACCAUAUUGAUUGACGAGUGUUUCUACUUUGUAUUUCGAGAAUAAAUGUUCCGUUAGAAUUAUAAUCAUAGAUUGCAAACUUGGUAUGUGGUAGCUAUCUAAGUUUGUCAUGGUUGAGAUUGUCUAUUCUAAGGUAAUUAAGCAAAUGUUUCAAUACAUUUUAUAUUAUAUGUAUAUAUAUAUAUAUAUAAUAUUAUUGUGCUUGCUUUUUAGCCAUUCUCCUAUAAGUUUGUCAAUCAUUUUAAUGCAAUAUAUUAUUGUUUGGUUAUUACAUUUGUUGUACAUCUUAUUUUUUGAAAGAAAAAAGAAAAAAUAUAUUUAAAAUAAUAAAAAAUUAAGAUUAUAGAUGUUUUUUAUAUUAUAUUUUAAUUAUUGGUUUAUUUUUAAUCUUUAUAUUGGUCUUGCCUUAUAUCUUUUUUUGGGAAAAGUAUAUAUCAUAUAAUUUUGCUUUGUCAUAAAAACAGUCACCAAACAAAUCCAUACUUUUUUAUGGAGGCAGCAAAGUAUAAUAUAUUGGAGAUUCAUUACCCCUUUUCCCCAAAUUCCCCCCAUUUUAUAAUCCGCAUAGUUUCUAAAAGAACACAAAUCAAUAUAAAUAAAAAAAAAUGAAAAACAUUGUUGCAGAAUCCACAUGGAACUAUCGGUUCCAACGUUUUCCUGCUCUUAAUGUCACCACCUACUAUUAAGUACUACUCUAACAGUUGACACUGAACCGCAACUUCAUCAACAACACACCUCCUGCCACUGUGCAACCGCUUCAGCUAGCUUAGCUAUUCAUUCUCACCAGUGACACAUGGCGACUGCAAAAGUUGGGAGGAUCAAGUUGGGUUCUCAAGGCCUGGAAGUGUCUGCUCAGGGCCUUGGCUGCAUGAGCAUGUCAGCUUUCUAUGGUCCUCCGAAGCCUGAAUCUGACAUGAUUGCUCUCAUCCACCAUGCUUUCAACUCUGGGGUAACCUUUCUUGAUACGUCUGAUAAUUACGGUCCCCAUACCAAUGAAAUCCUCCUUGGCAAGGCACUGAAACAUGGUUUCAGAGACAGAGUUGAAUUGGCUACCAAGUUUGGUAUAAACUAUUCUCAAGGCGCAAGGCAAAUCCGUGGUGACCCCGCGUACGUGAGGGCGGCCUGUGAAGGUAGCUUGAAGCGUCUUGGUGUGGAUUGUGUUGAUCUUUAUUAUCAGCAUCGGAUCGACACCAGGGUUCCCAUUGAAGUCACGGUUUGUUUUUGUUUUGAAUUUUGUCCCCUGCUUUUUUUCUUUGUUAUGACCUAGUUAAGGAAUGAGGCAUCUUGGUCUUUUUAUGAAUAGUUCCUUGUGUUUUUUUAAUUUUUUGCCCAGAUGGGAGAACUUAAGAAACUAGUUGAAGAAGGUAAAGUAAAAUACAUAGGGUUAUCUGAGGCUUCUGCUUCGACUAUUAGGCGGGCACAUGCUGUUCAUCCAAUAACUGCUGUGCAGUUAGAAUGGUCCUUGUGGGCUAGAGAUGUUGAGGAAGAAAUAGUUCCUACAUGCAGGUUAGCCAUGGAUAAGAGUAAUAAUUUAAAUCAUUUGAAAUUGUAAAUUCUAGUGUCUCAUUCCUUUUCAUCUCGCAGGGACCUUGGGAUUGGGAUUGUUGCCUACAGUCCUCUGGGGAGAGGAUUCUUAUCAUCAGGGCCUAAACUGGUAGAAACUCUUUCUGAUGAUGACUACAGGAAGGUUUGUAGCUAUUUUUCACAAUUGGAUAAUUGUUCAUAAGAAAUAAUUACCUGUUACUUUUAGCCAUAUCAAAUUUUAUGGUAUGAUAGAUUUUAUCAAGUAUGGUAUGUGAAUCAAAGAACAUCCACAUCGAUAGACAUGACCCGAGUUUUUAUAUCUGUCAGCUAAAUUUUCUUGAAGCUUAAUUUGUUCUGCAACAUUUCCAUCUUGGUUGGUCUACUUUGUGAAGAAGACCUCCCAAUUUUAGUCUCCAAGUGCCUUAAUGCUAGCGAGCUUUUUCUUUCUAAUUUAGUGAUAUCUCAUGUGAAUUGGGUCUAUUAAGUAAGUGGUACAUUCUUCAUCAGUCCAACUGUGUACUUCGGUCAGGGUGUACCAGUUAAGGACUGAAAUUUUAGUAUGUCCAUAACUUUUUCCUCUUUUCUGUCAUAUUCCAUUACCAUUAUGUAGUGAAGUCUUAUGUAUAUAGGGUAACUAUCUAGUGAAGUAUUAUGCAGGCGUGUUAAGCUUCAAAUCCCAUUAAGAAUAUAUUUUUCAAAAUGCCUACGUUCUUCUUAAUAACAGAGGGCUAACCAUACGUUUAUAUUCUAGUUUGCCUCUAUUUGGCUCCUCCCCUUGAGUUAUGCAGGCCUCUCUUGUGAUCCAUUAGUUAAUAACCAUUACUAAGGUGAAGUUUUUACUAUCGCAACAGUUAACAAUCUUCUAAUGCAUCUUUAAAAUAAGACAAACUUAAGGCAAGUUUGUAGAGGAUAUCUGUUUACUUCGACUGAUAUCUGUGUCAUAGAAGAGACAUCUGCUACAUGUGAUUGGAAGUUUUCUAUCAGAUUUCCCAGUUGAUUUAUAAAUUAGGUAAUGAGCUUCAGUCCUCCUAAUUUCAACAACUGAAGUUAAUGACUGGACUCUGGAGUACAGGAAUGCACUUAGGGAACUGCAUGGUGAUUGUUUGUUUUAAAAAUUAUACCCCUGUGAAAUCUGUUUCAAAUAGGCAUUUAGCCUAUAUUUAAAUUAUAUUUGAGGAUAAAAGAUCCUCUCUGUAGUUGGGCAAUUAAGCAAAAUGAGGUCCAUUUUGAGAACUAAUGAUGGCAUGAGUUGGCAAACACUAGCUGAAAUUUCUUGAAUCAUGAAUCUUUAUUAUUUACAGAAAAUACUGGUUUGGUGCUGAUUACUCUUUAUGUUUUAUGACACAAUCAAUUGAAUGAAUUUUCAAUUGUCACAGUUUCUACCAAGGUUCCAACCUGAAAAUCUGGAGCAUAACAAACGCCUCUAUGAGCGAGUUAAUGAGAUAGCAGCAAAGAAGGGGUGCACCCCAUCACAGCUUGCGUUGGCCUGGGUCCAUCAUCAAGGGAAUGAUGUCUGUCCCAUUCCUGGAACCACUAAAAUGAAAAACUUCAAUCAGAACAUAGGAGCUUUGUCCUUGAAAUUAACACCUGAAGAGAUGUUUGAGCUAGAAUCCAUUGCUUCAGCAGAUGCCGUGAAGGGAGACAGAUAUGGUGGAACUGCCGCUACCUACCCUGAAUCUCAAACUCCUCCCUUGUCUUCAUGGAAACCUGAAUGAGGGCAUGCUAUCAUAUCGAUGCAAUCUUCAUAAUGAGUUACGGACUUAAUGUAACACCUUGGGGAUGUGUUUUAAAAUCACAAU
rnacentral:lncRNA from 1 species